rnacentral:tRNA from 2 species
GGAAAGAUGGCAGAGUGGUCGAAUGCACACGCUUGGAAAGCGUGCAUACCGCAAGGUAUCGGGGGUUCGAAUCCCCCUCUUUCCGCCA